GGCGUCAAAGCUUACCAAAGAAUAUCAAACUCCGAAUGCCAUGUAGAUGAUGAAUGGGAGUCAGACUGCACGAGAUAAGUUGGGUGGUCAAAAGGGAAAGAGCCCAGACCUACAGCUAAGGUCCCAAAGUGCGUGUUAAGUGGAAAAGGAUGUGGGAUUUCAAAGACAACCAGGAUGUUGGCUCAGAAGCAGCCAUACAUUCAAAGAGUGCGUAACAGCUCACUGGUCGAGAGGUCCUGCGCCGAAAAUGUCCGGGGCUGAAACACGACACCGAAGCUUAGGAAUCACAUAGUGAUUGGUAGAGGAGCAUUCUUAAAACCGACGAAGCUGUACCGGAAGGAGCAGUGGAGGGAUAAGAAGAGAGAAUGCCGGAAUGAGUAGCGAGAGGAAGGUGGGAAUCCUUCCGGCCGAAUAUCUAAGGUUUCCAGAGUAAAGCUGAUCUGCUCUGGGUAAGUCGGGGCCUAAGGAGAGGUCGAAAGACGUAUCCGAUGGACAACAGGUUUAGAUUCCUGUACCACAUAUAAACAGAACUGUGGGGACGCAUGUGGAAAGCAUAAGCCGGGAAUGGAAAUACCGGUACAAACGGAAGAGGUGUCAGGCUGGCAAAUCCGCCUGGCAAGCCAAAGACGUGAUGUGGAGCGAAAUAAAAGUAGCGAAGUAUGUGAGCCAUGUGCCGAGAAAAGCCGCUAUAGUUUUAUAUGUGCCCGUACCGUAAACCGACACAGGUGGAUGAGGAGAGAAUCCUAAGGCCGACGGAAGAAGCAUUGUUAAGGAACUCGGCAAAAUGACCCCGUAACUUCGGGAGAAGGGGUGCCCACUUCAGGGUGGGCCGCAGAGAAUAGGCUCAAGCAACUGUUUAGCAAAAACACAGGUCUAUGCGAAACCGUAAGGUGAAGUAUAUGGGCUGACGCCUGCCCGGUGCUGGAAGGUUAAGAGGAGAGGUUAGUCGCAAGAUGAAGCUUUGAAUUUAAGCCCCAGUAAACGGCGGCCGUAACUAUAACGGUCCUAAGGUAGCGAAAUUCCUUGUCGGGUAAGUUCCGACCCGCACGAAAGGCGUAAUGAUUUGAGCACUGUCUCGACAAUGCAUCCGGUGAAAUUGAAGUACCAGUGAAGAUGCUGGUUACCCGCGCCAGGACGGAAAGACCCCAUGGAGCUUUACUCCAGUUUGGUACUGGGAUUCGGUACUGCAUGUACAGGAUAGGUGGGAGACUGAGAAAUUGGAACGCCAGUUUCAAUGGAGUCACUGUUGGGAUACCACCCCUGCAGUAUUGGGUUUCUAACCAGCCGCUGUGAUCCAGCGGUGGGACAAUGCCAGGCGGGGAGUUUGACUGGGGCGGUCGCCUCCGAAAGGGUAUCGGAGGCGCUCAAAGGUUCCCUCAGAAUGGUCGGAAACCAUUUUAAGAGUGCAAAGGCAGAAGGGAGCUUGACUGCGACACCGACGGGUGGAGCAGGUACGAAAGUAGGACUUAGUGAUCCGGUGGCAUAAAGUGGGAUUGCCAUCGCUCAACGGAUAAAAGCUACCCUGGGGAUAACAGGCUUAUCACUCCCAAGAGUUCACAUCGACGGAGUGGUUUGGCACCUCGAUGUCGGCUCAUCGCAUCCUGGGGCUGUAGCAGGUCCCAAGGGUUGGGCUGUUCGCCCAUUAAAGCGGUACGCGAGCUGGGUUCAGAACGUCGUGAGACAGUUCGGUCCCUAUCCGGCGCGGGCGGAGGAUAUUUGAGAGGAGCUGUCCUUAGUACGAGAGGACCGGGAUGGACGGACCACUGGUGUAUCUGCUGUCGACCAACGGCAUGGCAGAGUAGCCAAGUCCGGAAGGGAUAAACGCUGAAGGCAUCUAAGCGUGAAGCCCCCCUCAAGAUGAGAUAUCCCUCACAUAAGUGAGUAAGAUCCCUUGAAGAGUACAAGGUAGAUAGGGCAGAGGUGGAAGCACGGUAACGUGUGGAGCUGACUGUUACUAAUCGAUCGAGGGCUUGACCA
rnacentral:rRNA from 1 species